ACCAAUUAUUUGCUGUUUUAACGAUCUGUCCUUAAGUUUCACUUGUCCUGGCGGAGCAUUCCAACUUACCAGUUGGCCAUCCUAAUUAGAAACAGUCCCCUGCAUUACGUGGAGUGUUUCAUUUAAAAUGCUGUCCUUCUUAUUGACAGGGCUGGUGUGAGCUGACAAAUCCCUGCUCUCACAGCUCACUCCCUGUCGUGCAUCCAUUGUGGUAACAUAUACUUGAGCUUUGUUCUUUAAAUGUGAACAUUUUGUAAUUUUUGCACAAUAGCUGGUUUAUCUAAGCAGUGAAAUAACGCAGCACACAAAGAAACAGUAAAGCGCACCAGACAAAUGGUGGGACACUAUACAGGACAGCAAUGUUUUAUGGUAAAAAACAGGACAUUUUGAGUACGUUCUUUCAGUUUUGAUUUUGUUUUCCUGUUUCCUUAUCAAAACAUCUUUUUUUCUCAUUUGACAUUUCUUAGUCGCGGGGGUCGCUCGCGACUCACUAUGGAGGAAGCGCUAUUGAAAAUGACUGACUGACUGACAUUUCUGAGUAGAUUUAUUCCACUUCAGCCUAAGAUGCUAGGUCUGGUUAUUUUAACAAUACAAACACAGCUGAUUUUAAUUGCAGGUUCUGGCCAAACUUUUCUUGUUUAAAAGUUUAACUUUGCACUGUCGCUACAUGCUCGUUCAGGAGGAGGGAUUGCUGGAAAAUCAUUUAAACAUCCUACUUAAAACAUAAUUUCGUUGUGUUUUACUUUCUGAAGAUUUUAUGUUGCUACUAACAUUGACUGUGGUUCUGAUUCCCAUUUGGACCAGCUGGCCCACGAAAUAACCUCUGAUUAAACUAAAAUUUGUUGAAGUAACAUAACAUUUCCCCGCAGAAAGUCACAUACGAAGAGUUCAAACUGCAAAUUCACAGACGUACAAAUAACAUAAUUGUCAUUUCCAGCCAGUGUCGGUGUUUUGAGUUUGUGUUUUUGUUUUUGUUUAUUUCUCCUGGUCUGGUCCUUAGUUUACCCUUCGUUCUGUGUUUUUGUCUUGUUAAUUGAUUUCAGUCUCUGCAGUCUGACCCACACCUGUUCCUUGUUCCCCGUGAUUAUUCUGUCCCUCCGUUCAUUGGUUCCCCCUGGUGUUCUGCCUGUAUAUAAGUUCCUUAGUUGCCUUUGUUCCCCGCUGGUUCCUUGUGUGUUGUCUUCCAUGUCGUUCAGUCGUGUCUGGUUCAAUAACUGUGCCAUACCCUGAUGUCUGGAAUUCUGUACUUUGGUCUGGUUGGAGCAUGUCAUAUUCCUGGUUGCCUACCCUGUCGUGUGAAUAAGGAUAAUUAAAAUUCUACUUAUCUUCAUUCUGCCGGCUCCUGGAACCUUCUCUGCACUUUGGUCCUACCAUCAAGACAGAAGGAAUUAGCCAGAUGGACCAAGCGAGAAGGCAGCAGGGGUUCCAGUCAGGGCAAGAGUUGUUAGGGCGACCCUCACACCUUCUAACUGCCAGCAGCUCUCCCGGGCAACGUCAGGAGAUGGCGAACCAGGUCUUGGGGUGGCUGGAGGAGUGGGGGAACGUCUUCCCUGAGAGUCUGCUGUUUCCCGGUUUGUUAAGACGGGAGCGGCAGGGGCCGUAUAGGAGAUCGGCCCCUUGUUCGACCUGAUUUCAGGGGGUCCAGACAUUGUGGGUCGUCUGCCGCCGCUCUUAUCCUCAACUCCUGUUCCGGCGUGGCUUAAGGAGGAGCCGCGGUCUGUUCCCGUUUCUGUUCCUGAUCUUGCUCACAUUUCUGGUUCUGUUCUGGAGGGGUCCAAAGACGAGCUGCCAUCACACCCUGUUCCUGCCUCUGAGGGGUUCAGGGAUGGACUGCCUCCACUGCCUGAUCCUGUUCCUGAGCGGUUCGCGGACUGACCGCUGUCUGAUCCUGUUCUGGAGGAGCUCGUGGGUGAGCUGCCCCACCUCCUGUUUCUGUCCAUGAGGGGUGCGAGGAUGCACUGCCACCAUUAGCUGUGCCUCAGGGGCUCCACCGCAGGUCUGCAGGGCUCCGCCGCAGAUCUUCGCGGCCUCACCAAGGGCUCCAGUGGUUUCUGCACUGCUCUCCAGGAUCCCAGUGGUUUCUGCACCGCCUAAAUUCUGGGUUUUGCACAAGUCGACUUUCGGGUAAAGCGGAAAACGAGUACGAGUACAAGUACAAACCGCACAUCAUGACAAUAAUAAGCAUGAAAUUACUUUUAAAGUGUCUCUUUCUAAGAUAUGAAAAUUGUUUUCGAAAUGUUAGUAACUGAAAAGUAAAAGUGGCAGUUUAAAGAGAGAUUUUAGCUAUAAAGCUCACAUCAAUGGUGAAGCUAGCUUUAGUUUUACAAGAUUAUUAAACUGUCAUGAAACUGUCAUCAAAACAUGAAUUAGAGGAAGUGAAAUUAAGUUCCGAAAACAGAUUUUUUUGGAGAAAAUAUAUCACUUUGUUGUUUUUUAUAAAAAUGCUGAACAGCCCACAGGGACAAGACGGGAGCCAGCAUUUAAAGAACUCAAAUCAUAUAGGCAAUGCCUACAAUUUCACAGUGGUAAGCUACAUUGUGGCCACAGCUGCCCUGGGGCACUGGCAGAAGUGAGGUUGCCACACACCACGGAGCCCCCUGACCACCAUCAACAGGCAAGGUGGGUGAAGUGUCUUGCCCAAGGACACAACAACCGAGACAGACAGAGUGGGGGUUCGAACCAGCAACCAGCCAGUUACAGGACAAACCCAUACCACCAUCGCCAUGUUCGCCAUAAAAGGAGUUACUAAACACUGCCUUAAGAGUCCCUCUGAGGAAUUAAACGUACUCCAGGGAGGAAGAGGAGCAGUAGCCCAAUGAAGUCCGACAACAACAACAGCAACAAUACCAGGAAAGUUCACCUACAGAGCCACAUUCUGCUGCGGUUUCAGCUGGAGCUGAUUCAAGUCAUUCAGAGGUGCUACAGGGUCGGAGUUUCCUUUCACCACCUGAUUCAGCAUCCCACAUCUGGCCCAAAUUAGCAUGCAAAUGGACAUGCCCAAACCCCUGGAGCCAGCCAACAAGGGGGCUGAGGCAAACAGAUCCCUAUGACACACAGACAAAUGCAGCCAGACGGACAGCCCACAGGAACGCCUCACAUGUACCAUGGGGGGAAUGCAAAACAUCCUGCGCUGAGCAGCACCUCAAACUUCACUCCACAUCUGGGCUGCAGAUGUACUGUCAGCAGAAAAGAGACUGCACCACAGUUCUGCAUGCGUGCUUGGAUACUUGUAUAUAUGAGCAACUGUGAGUGUCCAUAUUUACACAGAACACACAUUAAACAUUUGCGUUUUAUAAACUGA